rnacentral:rRNA from 1 species
GCUGACGGUUCCGUGAGAAGAGGCACCGGCUAACUACGUGCCAGCGGCCGCGGUAAUACGUAGGGUGCUAGCGUUAAUCGGAAUUACUGGGCGUAAAGGGUGCGCAGGCGGCUUGCUAAGUCGGGUGUGAAAGCCCCGAGCUUAACUUGUGAAUUGCGUUUGAAACUGCUGGACUUGAGUGUGGGAGAGGGAAGUGGAAUUCCAUGGUGUAGCAAUGAAAUGCGUAGAGAUGUGGAGGAACACCGAUGGCGAAGGCUGCCUCCUGGACCGUGACUGACGCUCAUGAACGAAUGCCUGGAAAGCGAACUGGAUUAACUACCCUGGCAAUCCCCGCCCUAAACUAUGUCUACUAGUUGUUGGAAGAGUUAUAUCCUUUA